CUACGGGGUGCUCCAGUGGGGAAUCUUAGACAAUGGGGGAAACCCUGAUCUAGCCAUGCCGCGUGAGCGACGACGGCCCUAGGGUUGUAAAGCUCUUUCAGCAGGGAAGAUAAUGACGGUACCUGCAGAAGAAGUCCCGGCUAACUCCGUGCCAGCAGCCGCGGUAAUACGGAGGGGACUAGCGUUGUUCGGAAUUACUGGGCGUAAAGCGCGCGUAGGCGGAUUGUUAAGUCGGGGGUGAAAUCCCGGGGCUCAACCCCGGAACUGCCCUCGAUACUGGCAGUCUUGAGUUCGAGAGAGGUGGGUGGAAUUCCGGGUGUAGAGGUGAAAUUCGUAGAUAUUCGGAGGAACACCAGUGGCGAAGGCGGCUCACUGGCUCGAUACUGACGCUGAGGUGCGAAAGCGUGGGGAGCAAACAGGAUUAGAUACCCGCGUAGUC
rnacentral:rRNA from 1 species